rnacentral:rRNA from 1 species
AUGGAGAUGGUAGAGGGUAGGGAAAUUGGGCAUGCCGAGCUUUACGUGGUUACGCAUACGAAAAACAAUGGAUAUCCAGUCAACCAACAAAGCGAAGUAAAAAUGGAUGAAAUUAAAAAAAGGAUUCGGGAAGAUCCUUCUUUGAUUGGUGAGGAGGCCCGUGAUGGUGAUCUUUAUUCAUCAAUUUUCCCAAAAGGAAAGAAAGGAAGGCCAAGUGGCCUUGGUCUAUUAGUAGGUGGAGUCGCUUUGGAGCGCCUUGCUCAAGUUGAAGCUGAACUACAUGUUGCUAAACAAGAGAACAUGGAGCUUCGGCAUGUGGUGCAUACUCUGGUGGCAAAUCAAACUUCAAUGAUGGCCAAGAGUGAGAGAAUGGCAGAACAGUACAAUGAGCUAAAAAGUUUGAUCAUAGCUUCUAGGGGGUCUGUUGAAAUGGGAGGAAUUCCAGAAAAGGAGCUUCCAAAUAAAGAACCUUCUAAGGACUUGGAAACCAUGAAUGACGAAGAACAAGCAACUUCACUUUCAUAUACUACCAAGGCAUCCGAGGCAAUGGCUGCUCCAAGGCUGCUCCAAGGCAAUGGCUACUCUAAGUUGGUGAAGGCAUCCCAACUGGAAUCAAAGACAACAGAAUCAGCACUACCAAGUCUUGCGCCUGUGCCAAAACCAAAGAAGACAAAGACAACUAAACAUAAGAAACCAGGAAUAUUUCAAACACCGCUCCAAAAUGGGCCAAAGGAUGGAUUAGAAGAUACCAUAAAGUGUGGCAUGGAAGUUAGUUUGACGUCGCCAAAUAGUGCAAGUGUGGUGGCAAUGGGAACCAUUCAGAAAACUGAUAGAAAAGCUAAAGCAAUUGAUGGCCACCACUAG